GGGGGGCGCCUUUGCCCCCCGGGCCCGUGCCCGCCGGAGACCCCAACACGAACACUGUCUGAAAGCGUGCAGUCUGAGUUGAUUGAAUGCAAUCAGUUAAAACUUUCAACAAUGGAUCUCUUGGUUCCGGCAUCGAU
rnacentral:misc_RNA from 1 species